UAAGGUCACGGCGAGACGAGCCGUUUAUCAUUAUGGUAGGUGUCAAGUGGAAGUGCAGUGAUGUAUGCAGCUGAGGCAUCCUAACAGACCGAGAGAUUUGAAC
rnacentral:rRNA from 2 species